ACGGGUGAGUAACACGUGAGUAACCUGCCCUCGACUCUGGGAUAAGCGCUAGAAAUGGCGUCUAAUACCGGAUACGAGCUUCAGCCGCAUGGCUAGGAGUUGGAAAGAAUUUUGGUCAAGGAUGGACUCGCGGCCUAUCAGCUAGUUGGUGAGGUAAUGGCUCACCAAGGCGACGACGGGUAGCCGGCCUGAGAGGGUGACCGGCCACACUGGGACUGAGACACGGCCCAGACUCCUACGGGAGGCAGCAGUGGGGAAUAUUGCACAAUGGGCGAAAGCCUGAUGCAGCAACGCCGCGUGAGGGAUGACGGCCUUCGGGUUGUAAACCUCUUUUAGUAGGGAAGAAGCGAAAGUGACGGUACCUGCAGAAAAAGCACCGGCUAACUACGUGCCAGCAGCCGCGGUAAUACGUAGGGUGCAAGCGUUGUCCGGAAUUAUUGGGCGUAAAGAGCUCGUAGGCGGUUUGUCGCGUCUGCUGUGAAAUCUGGGGGCUCAACCCCCAGCCUGCAGUGGGUACGGGCAGACUAGAGUGCGGUAGGGGAGAUUGGAAUUCCUGGUGUAGCGGUGGAAUGCGCAGA
rnacentral:rRNA from 1 species